rnacentral:misc_RNA from 1 species
GAACCUGUAGUUUAUAUUGAUAGGCCUAUAUCAAGCAGUGAACGCAUGGCUUAUUACAGUAUUGCAGAAUGUGUUGUUGUCACAGCUGUGAGGGACGGGAUGAACCUAACUCCUUAUGAGUAUAUUGCUUGUCGACAGGGCAUGUCUGGUUCAGAAGCUGAUUCAGAUGUGGAUGGACCUAAGAAGAGCAUGUUAGUUGUAUCUGAAUUCAUUGGGUGUUCACCUUCACUUAG